rnacentral:rRNA from 1 species
UACGUAGGGGGCAAGCGUUGCUCGGAAUCACUGGGCGUAAAGGGCGCGUAGGCGGGAUGGCAAGUCGGUCGUGAAAUCUCUCGGCUCAACCGAGAAACGUCGGCCGAUACUGCCGUUCUUGAGGGAGUCGCAGAGGAGACUGGAAUUCCCGGUGUAGCGGUGAAAUGCGUAGAUAUCGUAAGGAAGACCAGUGGCGAAGGCGGGUCUCUGGACAGGUUCCUGACGCUG